CACGUACUGUGCGAACGUUAUUCGGAAUCACUGGGCUUAAAGGGUGCGUAGGCGGCGAUUCAAGUCAGAUGUGAAAUGCCUGAGCUCAACUGAGGCAUUGCGUUUGAAACUGAAUUGCUAGAGUAUCCUAGGGGUGUGCGGAACUGCCAGUGGAACGGUGAAAUGUGUUGAUAUUGGCAGGAACACCGGAGGCGAAAGCGGCACACUGGGGGAUAACUGACGCUGAGGCACGAAAGCCAAGGGAGCGAACGGGAUUAGAUACCCCGGUAGUCUUGGCCGUAAACGAUGAGUACUGGGCGGGAGGGGGUUUCCCCUUUCUGCCGUAGCGAAAGCGUUAAGUACUCCGCCUGGGGAGUAUGGUCGCAAGGCUGAA
rnacentral:rRNA from 1 species